UUUCGCAAUGCCCGAAAGGGUGACGAAGCGACGCCGCGUGAGUGAGGAAGGCCUUCGGGUUGUAAAGCUCUGUCAGGAGUUAAGAAAUAUAAGUGUGCUAAUACCACAUUUAUUUGACGAAGGCUCCAAAGGAAGCCACGGCUAACUCUGUGCCAGCAGCCGCGGUAAUACAGAGGUGGCAAGCGUUGUUCGGUAUUAUUGGGCGUAAAGAGCACGUAGGUGGUUUUGUAAGUCAGGUGUGAAAGCCUUCUGUUCAAAGGAAGAACGGCAUCUGAAACUGCAGAUCUUGAGUGUAGGAGGGGAGAGUGGAACUUCUGGUGGAGCGGUGAAAUGCGUAGAUAUCAGAAGGAACGUCGGCGGCGAAAGCGACUCUCUGGCCUAUUACUGACACUCAGUGUGCGAAAGCUAGGGGAGCAAACGGGAUUAGAUACCCCGGUAGUCCUAGCCGUAAACGAUGGGCACUAAGUAGAGGGGUUUUA
rnacentral:rRNA from 1 species